AUGGACCACGCGUCCACUCCUCGUCCACUGCGGUUGUGAGCGCGCCGUCCGCGCUCACCUGACAGCUGCUCGCUACAUUUUGUUAGCC
rnacentral:sRNA from 2 species